UACGAAGGGUGCAAGCGUUACUCGGAUUUACUGGGCGUAAAGCGUGCGCAGGCGGUUUUGUAAGCCAGAUGUGAAAUCCCCGGGCUUAACCUGGGAAUGGCAUUUGGGACUGCAAGGCUCGAGUGCGGCAGAGGAGACUGGAAUUCCUGGUGUAGCAGUGAAAUGCGUAGAUAUCAGGAGGAACACCGAUGGCGAAGGCAGGUCUCUGGGCUGACACUGACGCUCAUGCACGAAAGCGUGGGGAGCAAACAGG
rnacentral:rRNA from 1 species